CCAAACAAAUAAGAGACCACAGUGUAGUUACAGCUCAUAUCAUUACAGAGACUACCUGACAACAACACAGUGACCUACAGCAGCGUGAAAGCUUCCUCUUCUUCUGCUGGAGCCUCAGCUGAUCCCAGCGACCUCUACGCCACCGUCAACUAACCAAACA